CUGGGUUUGACAUGCACAGGACGCCGGCAGAGAUGUCGGUUCCCUUGUGGCCUGUGUGCAGGUGGUGCAUGGCUGUCGUCAGCUCGUGUCGUGAGAUGUUGGGUUAAGUCCCGCAACGAGCGCAACCCUUGUCCUAUGUUGCCAGCGGGUUAUGCCGGGGACUCGUAGGAGACUGCCGGGGUCAACUCGGAGGAAGGUGGGGAUGACGUCAAGUCAUCAUGCCCCUUAUGUCCAGGGCUUCACACAUGCUACAAUGGCCGGUACAAAGGGCUGCGAUGCCGUGAGGUGGAGCGAAUCCUUUCAAAGCCGGUCUCAGUUCGGAUCGGGGUCUGCAACUCGACCCCGUGAAGUCGGAGUCGCUAGUAAUCGCAGAUCAGCAACGCUGCGGUGAAUACGUUCCC
rnacentral:rRNA from 1 species